rnacentral:tRNA from 1 species
GACCGCGUAGCUCAGUUGGCAGAGCAUUGGACUAGUAUCCCAAAGGUCGCGGGUUCGAUUCCCACCGUGAUCA